CAGAUGACUUUAUAUGACCACUUCCGUUCUACGUUAGCCAGUGGCUGCCUGGAAAGAUAAAAGGUCUCUCAGAACAGGGACUGGAAGUGACAAUCAGCCAGUUUCAAGCAUGGUACAGGUCACCUCCAGGCCCAAACGUGUCCAUCUUGGAUUUGAUACUUAUUCAUCUAAAACCAGGAAAAGAACAAACACAGAAGCGACAGCACAAACCCAGACUCCAGCUUCCCCAGUCACUUCAAGUAUUUCUGCCUUCCAGUUUUGAGAGACCUGAUGGAGAAUGCCAAUCUCACUUCAAGUUGCUGUGGGGAGAAUAAAACACUGGGAAGAAGUUGUCAUGAGAGGAGCUAGCAGUCUCCAAGAAGUCCCUAUCUCCAGCUUGCUAUAUUAGAGACUUUAGGGAAUUUUCUUUGGGUAAGAUCUGAAACUCUCUAGGUUAAGAUGAAUAAUCUUACUCCCUAUGGGAAAGAUCCUUCACUCUGUAUUAUCUGGUAUAUAUUCUCCAAUGUAUGCUUUCUCUGGUUUUCAUUUUGCUACCAAUGUGAAUAAAUGGGUUUCUUUGCUUUAAAAAUGUAAUUUGGUAUUAUGCAAAUAAAGUGACUA